CUACGGGGGGCAGCAGUGAGGAAUAUUGCACAAUGGGGGGAACCCUGAUGCGGCAACGCCGCGUGGAGGAUGACGCAUUUCGGUGUGUAAACUCCUUUUAUAUGUCAAGAAAAUGACGGUAGCAUAUGAAUAAGCACCGGCUAACUCCGUGCCAGCAGCCGCGGUAAUACGGAGGGUGCAAGCGUUACUCGGAAUCACUGGGCGUAAAGGACGCGUAGGCGGGUUGGAAAGUCAGGUGUGAAAUCCUACAGCUUAACUGUAGAACUGAACUUGAAACUUCUAAUCUAGAGUAUGGGAGGGGGAGAUGGAAUUAGUGGUGUAGGGGUAUAAUCCGUAGAUAUCACUAGGAAUACCUAAAGCGAAGGCGAUCUCCUGGAACAUUACUGACGCUAAGGCGUGAAAGCGUGGGGAGCAAACAGGAUUGAUACCCUCGUAGUC
rnacentral:rRNA from 1 species